UUAAUGAUAUUCUAUAGAAGAUUUAUGCUUAUGUUUAGGAUCGCCAAAUAUGAUUGAUGGAGAAACACAGUCAAAAACUUUAAUAAGGGACUAAGCUUGAUAGAAUAAUCGGAAUUGGAUGGAAAAACGGAAGCAAGUAGAGUAAAAAUAGGGAAGUAAGCAGCAUGAAGCCUAGGGAACACAUAUUUUAUUAAGCUGAUGGCAAACGAGUGAAUGAUAUUAUAAUGUUCUCUUGAACAGAGAGGUUGAGGCUGGUCUGCUUCAAUUUUUAGUAUCAUUUCUUGAAUCUCGCCUGUGUUUUCUCUCUUGCAAUCACUGUUAAUUCAAGGAAAAGUUACGUUCUAAUGUUAAAAAUUGUUGGAAGAGACUUCAGGUGUAAAAUUGGUUGUACAUUUGUUUCCUUGAGUUCUAAGGAGUCAAGAACCAAAGUCUGGUGGAUGAACUGCUACCUCGCAGCUAGAGCGUGAUAAACUGCCAAUGGGCCAUGGUCCGGUGGCUGUAUUAAAAAAAUGUGUUGGAUGGAAAACCUUCUCCCUCCUUGCUUGGGAAUUAAAAGAAACUGGACCACGUGCUUUUUAACCCGUGAAUUGUGUUAUUGUCAUG